rnacentral:rRNA from 1 species
UCUUCGGAAUGAAGUUUUGGUGACUGAGCGGCGGACGGGUGAGUAACGCGUGGGUAACCUGCCUCAUACAGGGGGAUAACAGUUGGAAACGGCUGCUAAUACCGCAUAAGCGCACAGUACCGCAUGGUACCGUGUGAAAAACUCCGGUGGUAUGAGAUGGACCCGCGUCUGAUUAGGUAGUUGGUGGGGUAACGGCCUACCAAGCCGACGAUCAGUAGCCGACCUGAGAGGGUGACCGGCCACAUUGGGACUGAGACACGGCCCAAACUCCUACGGGAGGCAGCAGUGGGGAAUAUUGCACAAUGGGGGAAACCCUGAUGCAGCGACGCCGCGUGAGCGAUGAAGUAUUUCGGUAUGUAAAGCUCUACCAGCAGGGAAGAAAAUGACGGUACCUGACUAAGAAGCCCCGGCUAACUACGUGCCAGCAGCCGCGGUAAUACGUAGGGGGCAAGCGUUAUCCGGAUUUACUGGGUGUAAAGGGAGCGUAGACGGCAUGGCAAGCCAGAUGUGAAAGCCCGGGGCUCAACCCCGGGACUGCAUUUGGAACUGUCAGGCUAGAGUGUCGGAGAGGAAAGCGGAAUUCCUAGUGUAGCGGUGAAAUGCGUAGAUAUUAGGAGGAACACCAGUGGCGAAGGCGGCUUUCUGGACGAUGACUG